rnacentral:tRNA from 1 species
AAAAACUUAGGUUAACUAAACCAAGGGCCUUCAAAGCCCUAAACAAGGAGUAAAACUCUUUAGUUUUUG